rnacentral:rRNA from 1 species
CCUACGGGAGGCAGCAGUGGGGAAUUGUUCGCAAUGGGCGCAAGCCUGACGACGCAACGCCGCGUGGAGGAUGAAGGUCUUCGGAUUGUAAACUCCUGUUGAUCGGGACGAACGGGCUCCGCUUUAACAGAGCGGAGCAGUGACGGUACCGAUUGAGGAAGCCACGGCUAACUCUGUGCCAGCAGCCGCGGUAAUACAGAGGUGGCAAGCGUUGUUCGGAAUUACUGGGCGUAAAGGGCGCGUAGGCGGCCUUGUCAGUCAGACGUGAAAUCCCCAGGCUUAACCUGGGAACUGCGUCUGAUACUACAAGGCUGGAGUUCGGGAGAGGAAUGUGGAAUUCCAGGUGUAGCGGUGAAAUGCGUAGAUAUCUGGAGGAACACCGGUGGCGAAGGCGGCAUUCUGGACCGAAACUGACGCUGAGGCGCGAAAGCCAGGGGAGC